rnacentral:rRNA from 2 species
UACGUAGGGGGCAAGCGUUGUCCGGAUUUAUUGGGCGUAAAGAGCGUGUAGGCGGCCAGAUAGGUCAGCUGUGAAAACUCGAGGCUCAACCUCGAGAUGUCGGCUGAAACCAUCUGGCUAGAGUCCGGAAGAGGAGAAUGGAAUUCCCGGUGUAGCGGUGAAAUGCGCAGAUAUCGGGAAGAACACCCGUGGCGAAGGCGGUUCUCUGGGACGGUACUGACGCUGAGACGCGAAAGCGUGGGGAGCGAACAGG